UAUUUUCAACCCUUUGUUAUCCUUUAGAUGCAGACUUUAUAAGGAAUGAUAAUCUUAUGCAUGAGUAUUUUGCAGAAGAGAACACCUUAACUGAUAGAUCUUUUUCUAAUUAUUAACCUUAACUAAAAUUUGUUGAACUUUGCUGAACAUUAGAUGUAUUUUAAGAUUUUUGUGUUGCUGAUGAAUUUUAAAAUCUAAAUCAGCAGUUUUUUUUUUUUUUUUUAACCUUUAUAGAAUUUUCAUUACAAAUGUAACAGUCUUUAGAAAGUUGUGGUGCUUCCCCAUAGCCCAUUGGGUUUUAAAUGCACCGGUGAAGAUUUUGGUUUUUUGCCUAGCUAGGAAUAAUGUGCUUGUGGUGAGUUCAUCCCUCUCUUAGCUAUACCCACAGGCUGAGUUGAAGUUUAUUGGCCAGACACAGUAUACUGGUUGAUGUUAAGAUACAAGCUGUCAACCUCUCAGCUAGAUGUCUGGAUUAUUUUCACUUCAACCAUGUUUCGUAGAAAAGUUUACUAUAUACUUACAACUGCUCUGCUUACAGUUUAAAUGCUUUCUGAUAUACUAUAAUUAACUUAGACGUUUGAACGAUUUGCACAUACUUUAAUACAAAAAACAGAAAAAAGAAAAUUAACAUUUCAUUAGAAUAGUCGCAGUUAAUUAGGCUAUUAUUAACCCCUAACAAUUGCAUUUGUACCAACACUGCAUUUCAAGCACCAUAUUCUCGUCAUUUUUUUUUAAUGUGACACAAUGGAUAAGAUCUUUAGAGGAUUCCGAGUUCAGUCUUAUGUGAUAUGUAGACUUUCAAGAAAUAGAAACACUAAUUAAUUCUUACCUGGAAUUUCAGUGACAACAUUGUGUUGUGACACCUGAAUGUGUGUCACAAGUAAUGAUAUAUAAUUAGAGAAAAGAGUAGAAACCUAACUACAACAACAACAGGUGUUUAAAAAAAAUACAUUUGGCAAGUAAAUUAUGGCUCAAUUCUUUGAAAUAGGGUGACCUAAUCAGCAUUAUGUACACUCCACACUACUAAAACACCUUUCAAUAAUUCCAUAUUAACUAACCCCCACAUUAACAUAUACUAAUUUUUGUGUUCAAUAUUUUCAGAAUAUUAAUUUAUUUUUGUAGGUGUUUAAAAAGAAAAAUUGUUUUUAUAUUUACUGAUCUUAAGACUAAUGAUAUCCUCUCUUACAAUUUUAAAUAUAUUGCUCAGUUUUGUUUAAGAUUUCAUGAUAAGCAUUUUUAUUUUAAAAUUAGCUGAAUGGGAGUGAAGCAGAGAUUUUGUCACUGCAGCUAUCUGUAUUGCAGGACAUUUGUUCAAAAUUUAUACAGAUACUCAUGACUGAAACAGAAAGUGAGGGAAAAACAGAAAAAAAACAUCCAGCCAGAUUUAAAGAAGUUUUACUUUGUUAUGUCCCUCUGUGAAGUUUAUGAAUCAUAUAAACAAUUUCAAGAAUAUACGGAAAUGAAAACAUUACACAAAUCAGAAAUAGUAUCCUGUUCUGAUGUUGCAGUUGUUAGGAUAGUCAUCGUCAUCAUCGUUCAACAUCUGCUUUCUAUGCUGUCAUGGGUUGGACGUUUUGACUGAUGCUUUAGGCAAGUGUCCUCUAUCAUAGUUUUGUAACUAGAAACUGAAUGGAACCUGUCAUAUAUCUCUGGUGAUGAGGAUCUCUUUCUUUUUCUAUCUCUCUACACAUACACACAUGUGUGUGUGUGUGGUUAUGUAUGUACAUGUGUGUUCAUUUGUGCUGCUUCGAAUAUACUUAUUUGUACUUGUGACGGCGUUCACCCAGGGCGGGUUGAGCCGGCUUCUUCUCUGGUCCUGAGGGCAUCAUGAACCAUAGCGGCCCACUCUCGACGGUCCUGUGCUUUGAAUAUUGCAAAAUAUGAGUGGUUUUGUUGUCAUUUUUCAUGCCAACAUUGUUUGCAGGCUUUGCACCUGCGAAAAAGUUCUGAAAUAAGAAGACCUUUACCUUAAAACUAGGUAUAGGUUAGUGACAGGAAGAGCAUCUGGUUGUCUAAACUAUGUUAGCAUGGAUAGAGUGAA